rnacentral:rRNA from 1 species
GUGGGGAAUUUUGGACAAUGGGCGCAAGCCUGAUCCAGUAAUGCCGCGUGCAGGAAGAAGGCCUUCGGGUUGUAAACUGCUUUUGUACGGAACGAAACGGUCCUGGCUAAUAUCCGGGGCUAAUAACGGUACCGUAAGAAUAAGCACCGGCUAACUACGUGCCAGCAGCCGCGGUAAUACGUAGGGUGCGAGCGUUAAUCGGAAUUACUGGGCGUAAAGCGUGCGCAGGCGGUGCUGUAAGACAGGCGUGAAAUCCCCGGGCUCAACCUGGGAAUUGCGCUUGUGACUGCAGUGCUGGAGUGCGGCAGAGGGGGAUGGAAUUCCGCGUGUAGCAGUGAAAUGCGUAGAUAUGCGGAGGAACACCGAUGGCGAAGGCAAUCCCCUGGGCCUGCACUGACGCUCAUGCACGAAAGCGUGGGGAGCAAACAGGAUUAGAUACCCUGGUAGUCC